rnacentral:rRNA from 1 species
GACGAACGCUGGCGGCGUGCUUAACACAUGCCAGUCGAACGAAGAGCGAUGGAAGCUUGCUUCUAUCAAUCUUAGUGGCGAACGGGUGAGUAACGCGUAAUCAACCUGCCCUUCAGAGGGGGACAACAGUUGGAAACGACUGCUAAUACCGCAUACGAUCUAAUCUCGGCAUCGAGGAUAGAUGAAAGGUGGCCUCUAUGUAUAAGCUAUCACUGAAGGAGGGGAUUGCGUCUGAUUAGCUAGUUGGAGGGGUAACGGCCCACCAAGGCGAUGAUCAGUAGCCGGUCUGAGAGGAUGAACGGCCACAUUGGGACUGAGACACGGCCCAGACUCCUACGGGAGGCAGCAGUGGGGAAUCUUCCGCAAUGGACGAAAGUCUGACGGAGCAACGCCGCGUGAGUGAUGACGGCCUUCGGGUUGUAAAGCUCUGUUAAUCGGGACGAAAGGCCUUCUUGCGAAUAGUGAGAAGGAUUGACGGUACCGGAAUAGAAAGCCACGGCUAACUACGUG